UACAGAGGUGGCAAGCGUUGUUCGGAAUUACUGGGCGUAAAGGGCGCGUAGGCGGUUCGUUAAGUCCUGUGUGAAAUCCCCCGGCUCAACUGGGGAACUGCACAGGAAACUAGCGGGCUUGAGUUCGGGAGAGGGAAGCGGAAUUCCGGGUGUAGCGGUGAAAUGCGUAGAUAUUGGGAAGAACACCGAUGGCGAAGGCAGCCAUCUGGACCGACACUGACGCUGAGGCGCGAAAGCGUGGGGAGCAAACAGG
rnacentral:rRNA from 1 species